CAGUCGCCGCGGUAAUACGUAGGGCGCAAGCGUUGUCCGGAAUUAUUGGGCGUAAAGAGCUCGUAGGCGGUCUGUCGCGUCUGGUGUGAAAUCCCGAGGCUCAACCUCGGGCUUGCAUCGGGUACGGGCAGACUAGAGUGCGGUAGGGGAGACUGGAAUUCCUGGUGUAGCGGUGGAAUGCGCAGAUAUCAGGAGGAACACCGAUGGCGAAGGCAGGUCUCUGGGCCGCAACUGACGCUGAGGAGCGAAAGCAUGGGGAGCGAACAGGAUUAGAUACCCGAGUAGUCCCUGUCCUUAUACA
rnacentral:rRNA from 1 species